GCGACCUUAUCAGCUCUGCCUCCUGUCUGUAAGGUGCCGCUCUCCAGGAGCUCCUGGCACAAAGCCUUGUGUUGUCCGUUGUGAGGAAUGAUCUACAUACAGCAGCUAAGUUCAAGUGACUCUUGGGGACCGUGACCCACAGGUUGAGAACUGCCGGACUAGGCAAAAGGAAGCAAAGAUGGUAUGCAUCAACUGUUUAUUGAAAAGCGAAGCAAGAUGGAGGAGGUGAGAAACAGGGAUCUGGUUGCUGCUCAUACAUGCUCGGUUCUCAUCUGAAACCAUUCUCUAAGGUACUUCCCUGGAGACUUCUAGCUGGGGCAGGCGUCCUUCUUUCUCUUUACCGGGCCCAGUGCCACCUGGUCGUUCCGUGCACCCACCUCUGAACAGAUCUGGGCAUGGAUCUGAGUUUUUAGGGCCAUGAGUCAGCACAGCAGCAAGAAGCUGAUGGGCUGUGUGAACUGAUAACACAGGGAGCGUGAAGAUUUAAGAAAAAGCUGGUAAAUGCCGCAGCCCUGGCUGGAUCCAACUUUGCCAGAAGGAAUCCAACCUCUGGUCUCUUCUAGAAAAUGAACUUUGUUGUUGAGACCUAUUUACACUGUACUUUUGACCCUUGAACAUGAAGACUCCCGGUCACUCGAACAUCUCUCAUAAAGCCAUGCUCUGGCCUCGGUCCAAUGCCACCUUCUUCCCAAAACCCCAGGAGCCAUUCCUUUGGCCUUACCUUCCAACACAGUGCAGGCCAGGGGC